rnacentral:rRNA from 1 species
UACAUGGGGUGCAAACGUUGCUCGGAAUUAUUGGGCGUAAAGCGCGCGUAGGCGGUUACUUAUGUCGGAUGUGAAAGCCCUCGGCUUAACUGAGGAAGUGCAUUCGAAACUGGGUAGCUAGAGUACUAAAGAGGGUCGCGGAAUUCCCGGUGUAGAGGUGAAAUGCGUAGAUAUCAGGAGGAACACCGGUGGUGUAGACGGCUUUCUGGACCGUAACUGACGCUGAAACACGAAAGCGUGGGUAGCAAACAGG